rnacentral:rRNA from 1 species
CUACAGAGGGUGCGAGCGUUAAUCGGAAUUACUGGGCGUAAAGCGCGCGUAGGCGGCUUAUUAAGUCAGAUGUGAAAUCCCCGGGCUCAACCUGGGAACUGCAUCUGAUACUGGUAAGCUAGAGUUUUGGAGAGGGAAGUAGAAUUUCAGGUGUAGCGGUGAAAUGCAUAGAGAUCUGAAGGAAUACCAGUGGCGAAGGCGACUUCCUGGCCGAAAACUGACGCUGAGGUGCGAAAGCGUGGGUAGCAAACGGGAUUAGAAACCCCAGUAGUCC